GGACCCGCACAAGCGGUGGAGUAUGUGGCUUAAUUCGAUGCAACGCGAAGAACCUUACCAGGGUUUGACAUCCUGCGAAUCUCUUGGAAACAGGAGAGUGCCUUCGGGAACGCAGUGACAGGUGGUGCAUGGCUGUCGUCAGCUCGUGUCGUGAGAUGUUGGGUUAAGUCCCGCAACGAGCGCAACCCACGUCUUUAGUUGCCAGCAUUUAGUUGGGCACUCUAGAGAGACUGCCGGUGAUAAACCGGAGGAAGGUGUGGAUGACGUCAAGUCAUCAUGCCCCUUACAUCCUGGGCUACACACGUACUACAAUGCUACGGACAAAGGGCAGCAAGUUCGCGAGGACAAGCAAAUCCCAUAAACCGUGGCUCAGUUCAGAUCGUAGGCUGCAACUCGCCUACGUGAAGGAGGAAUCGCUAGUAAUCGCAGGUC
rnacentral:rRNA from 1 species